rnacentral:rRNA from 1 species
GAUGAACGCUGGCGGUAUGCUUAACACAUGCAAGUCGAACGGACUCUUCGGAGUUAGUGGCGGACGGGUGAGUAACGCGUGAGAAUCUGGCUUUGGGUUCGGGACAACCACUGGAAACGGUGGCUAAUACCGGAUGUGCCGAGAGGUAAAAGAGAAAUUGCCUGAAGAUGAGCUCGCGUCUGAUUAGCUAGUUGGUGAGGUAAAGGCUCACCAAGGCAGCGAUCAGUAGCUGGUCUGAGAGGAUGACCAGCCACACUGGGACUGAGACACGGCCCAGACUCCUACGGGAGGCAGCAGGGGGGAAUUGUCCGAAAGGGGCGAAAGACUGACGGAGCAAUACCGCGUGAGGGAAGAAGGCUCUUGGGUUGUAAACCUCUUUUCUUAGGGAAGAACAAAAUGACGGUACCUAAGGAAUCAGCAUCGGCUAACUCCGUG